UUGAAACUGCAGACAACUUUUGUAGAUGAGUAGAUCAGUAAUGAAAUUAAACCUCUUUCCUUUAUAAAUUACCCAGGCUCGGGUAUGUCUUUAUUAGCAGCGUGAGAACGGACUAAUACACCUGUGAUGUGCCCAGAAGGUGGGGCUAAGGAGGGAUCAGGAAUAUUUGGCAAAUAGAAGUCUACCACAGUUCUGGAACUGAAUGCUGGGUUCAAAUGUUAGCUCUAUCAGUGGCUAGCUGUUGCUUUGGAUGAGUAACUUGAAAUACUCAGUUAUGUCAUUUUAAAAAUGAGAGGAAAUUCACAGGGUAUGAUAUGGUUUGAAUCUGUGUCCCCAUCCAAAUCUCAUGUUGAAUUGCAAUCCCCAGUGUUGGAGGUGGGGCCUGGUAGGAGCUGAUUGGACUAUGAGGGUGGAUUUCUCAUGAAUGAUGAUAUGGUUUGUCUCUGUGUCCCUCUAAUCCUGAAUUAUAAUCCCCACGUGUCGAGGGAGGGACCUGGCGGGAGGUGAUUGGAUCAUGAGGGUGGUUUCCUCCAUGUUUUUCUCAUGAUAGGGAGUUAUGAGA
rnacentral:lncRNA from 10 species